rnacentral:rRNA from 1 species
AUAGGUUCGGCUCUCGUAGGUGAGCUGCGGAGGGAUCAUUA